rnacentral:rRNA from 1 species
UACGGAGGGUGCGAGCGUUGUUCGGAAUUACUGGGCGUAAAGCGCGUGUAGGCGGUCGAGCCAGUCCGAUGUGAAAGCCUUCCGCUUAACGGAAGAAGUGCAUUGGAAACUACUCGGCUGGAGUUCGGGAGAGGAGAGUGGAAUUCCUGGUGUAGAGGUGAAAUUCGUAGAUAUCAGGAGGAACACCGGUGGCGAAGGCGGCUCUCUGGCCCGGUACUGACGCUGAGACGCGAAAGCGUGGGGAGCAAAC